AGACAUUCGUUCUUCUAACGAAGUUUACUUAUACUACGUUAGAUUUUAGAAUGUCUUAGAUAAAUAAUGGGCUGCUUCACCCAGAAUUGCUCAAAAUGUGAAUUACAUUGUCUGGCUUUGCGGGUCCAUACAUUU